rnacentral:rRNA from 1 species
UACGGGGGGGUAAGCGUUGUUCGGAAUUACUGGGCGUAAAGAGCGUGUAGGCGGCUAUUUAAGUCCUGCGUGAAGUCCUGCGGCUCAACCGCAGACGGUCGUGGGAAACUGGAUGGCUAGAGUGCGGGAGAGGAGAGUGGAAUUCCCGGUGUAGCGGUGAAAUGCGCAGAUAUCGGGAAGAACACCCGUGGCGAAGGCGGCUCUCUGGAACGCAACUGACGCUGAGACGCGAAAGCGUGGGGAGCAAACAGG